GGGGGCGGUGGUUCUGUUGUCCUGUUGCCCUUUUAAGCUGCGGCUUGACAGGGGCCGCGCCUCCUGUCGGUGGAGUCGGUUACAAAGGGAGCAGCCCCCCAGGCCGCCACACAGCUCCCGCCAAGACCUGGUGCCCCUUGCCAUUUUCCAGCCGCGCUCCCAGGAGAGUGGAGGCUGCAGGAAGAGGCGGGUCUUUAGGCUCACAAGAGCUCGGCCAGGCGGCCCCGCGGGGUGGUCGUGGCCAUGACAGCGGCUCCAGACGGCUCCCCUUCCACGCCCUUCCCGCCGGAGAUGAGGGGAAGAUGUCUGUGUCAAGAUUCAAGGCCAAACUGAAGUUGCUGGCGUCUAUCUUCCACGAGAACCAGGAGGCUCAGCUGCGGCUCACGCUCCACUGCAACAUGAGAAUGGGACAACAGAAGAAGUGACUUCAGAGGAAGAGGAAGAAGAGGAGAUGGCUGAAAUUCAACCAAGAUGGUGUCCUGGGUAUGGUGGAAGAAGAUGUUCUCUGGGAUGCAGAGAUUUCCCUGAACAAGUCCAUCACAGAGAGCAGGAGAGUCUGGCCUCUUCAGAUGUGAGCCAUCAUUAAGUUCAAAUUCACUCCACCAUCCAUGCAAACUGUGAGAGCUGCUCCAUGGUGCCCAAAUCAGCACAUUCAGCUAGAAUCUCUUGUCACUGGAGAAGCUGUCUGAUUCUCUGAACAUGACGCAAGCCUUGCUGUCACCACCACCGUGAAGGUCAGAUACAGCACCCAAGGCCCUUGCGCCUCUGCCACCGCUGUGAGAAGUACAUAUCCUGGCCAGCCUGCUGACUCAGGAGGUUGAGAAUCAGGUGCAGCAGACCAGAGCACUGCUUCAGUGUCAGGGUAGAGCUGCUCCAUGACCCAGAGAUUCAUACGAGCCAUCCCACCACACUCGUCCCACCUGGCUUGUGUCAAUGUUCCAUUACUGUUCACCGGCUGCCCACGCACCUCCAGCUCCACAUCAGAAUGUGUUGCUAGACGUCAUUGUCAUGGUGGCAGGAGGAAUUUGUUAAACUUCAAAGGAAUGCCUGUUUGUCAUAAAGCCUUUAAAACAAGAAGAUGGCAUCUCCUAUGUGGGAGGAGUGAGGUUUGAUCCUGCGGAAAAUAAACUUAGCUGACAUUUUCGAGUGCGUCUUGUGUUCUGGGCUGUCCUUGCGACAGUGUCUUGGCAGAAAGAAAAGGGGGCAAAUAUAGUUGGAAAAAGAUUAAACUCUGUAGCUUCAUAAGGUCCUUCAAUGUAAAGAUGAAUAGCUUCAACAUGAAGUGAAAAGCAUCUGCCACAAUCUUCUAAAAUUACUGGGAAUAUAAUUUACCAGCAGCCUUGGUGCUGAGACAUAACACACUCUCUCUCCAUUGUUACCCAUUGCCCUGAAUAUGUGGUCAGUGACUAUCAACGCGUUGCGAGUGGAGGAAGGCAGGAUCAGAGAUAUCGCUGCCCAAAAAAGCAACAAUAGCAAACAGCAGCAGCAACACAGAAUGAUGGAGCCUCCUGCCACACUCUUCAAAGCGCUGCAGCCAGGAGGACACAGAGAAGAAGGUGGUGUGGGCCUGCAAAGGACAGACUCUGAAUCAGUGCGACCCACCCCGCGUGUCCCUCCAACCCAAAUAGCGGAUCCCUCUCCCCACCCUACGCUGCCAGUCUCGAGUGAGGCUCAUUGAGAAGGGAAGUUGUAAGUUGGAGGGAAAAAGUUUUAAGAGAGCCCAUGAGUGCAGAAGUCCCGCCUCCCACUAAGGAUCUCAGCAGAUGCAGGAAAGUCACAGGCAGGAGGUCUUCAGGUGUCUUCCCUAUGGGCAGGAAGGAAAGGGGAUGUGACUAUAACCAAAUUCCUGCUCCCACCAGCCCUCCAACUACCAGCCCUAACAGCCAAAUCCAUGGACAUUUUAUCUGUCCUGACUGGAGGUUGAAGGGUGUAAGGAGAGAGGUUGGGAAAUUUCACCGGGAGUACGCGGCUAACUGAGAAAGCUGAAUAAGAGUUCACUCACCCCAAAGACCCAGAAUUUCAUGAAUUAGAGCAAUAAAUAAUGAUAUAGAUCUCCUUCCAGGGUAAUGCCUAAGAUGUAUUGGAGCACCAACAGACCAACAUCAACAGCAACAAAGUAAAGACAAAAACGCCCAGGCUGUCCAUCCUAGGGGCUGGCCUUCCUCUCAGAACCCCAGGCCAGGAAAGCAGGAAGAAGGGGGAGCACAGAGUCUGAAAGGGGCUGAGACCUGCUUUUUCAGAGGAAUUUAAAGAUCCACAUGGAGCUGCCCAAAUUAAGCAAAAGUAAGAGUGAAAUAAAUGGCAAGGCAUUCCUGCAAAUGUACUGCAGGGGAACAGUGAACACAGGGUGGACCAUGGUCUGUAAAGAAAGACAAAGAUUUCAUUCUGCAGCAAAAUAUAUAACUGAAUCCAUGCAAGAAAGUUCUCCAAAAUGUUGUGUAAGAAGUUAGUAAGAAAUCGAUUUCAAUAAAAAAGAGCUAAAAGAUAGAAAAGCAAAAUGAAAGGUAAAUUGCAGAGUUUUGGAAACAAAUUGAAGAGCAAAAACUCAUUUCAGAACGGGAAGAAAAAAAAAAAAACCUACCCGAACUGUAAAUAGCAGGAAACAGAAUAGACAAUGCCAAAAAUAACAAAGCUACCAUCAUAGAGGAAGAAUUUCAGAUCUCCAAAGGGAAUAAGAGGAAUAAAACACAUCAUUGCAUAUUCAAGCCAAAAUGAGGAAAAAGAAGGAAAAUUCAUUUUGCAUAAAUAAAUAUACCAUGUAUGUGAUGGUAGGAAAUUAAUUUCAGAAAGUAAAUGUUAUAACUCAUGAAUUUGUAAAAAUAACAAAGAUAAUUGCACUAUGAAAAUUAGGUAAAAGGGAAGAUCACCACAAAAUGAAUGAAUUGCCCAUCCUAUUAAACAUCUUUCAAUUUUCUCUCAAUAGUAGUCAACAGAUACUCUUCUGAAUUGAUAAAUAUUAAAGCAUAUCACAGAGUGUUGUAUAAGGAACCUGCAGAAAACCUAAAAACAAAAAGAUAACUAAUAAUAUAUUGGGGUUUGAAGUGAGAAGUGGAGAAUUAAUAGAAACUGUCAGGUUGAUAAAUCAUGAACUAUAGGUUGAAUUAUGUAAAAUUAUAUAGGUAACCACUUAAACACAUAAAAGCAAUAAAUCUUUCAUUUUAACAAAAGGAUUGCACAUAAUCAGAAGGAGGGGGGAAAUAAAAAAAUCCAAAAGGGAAUGCAAAAGAAAUAUUAAUUACAGAUAUUGAAAAAAAUAUUAAACCAAAUAUAUCAGCAAUAUGUAUUAAAAAUAUAAGUGCAGAUCCAAGAUAAAUAAACCUAAAACAAAGUGCCUCAAAAAGGUUAAACAUAAAAUUGAGUAUAAAAUAAUAAGAAAUACAUAUUGGUCUGUGUCUCCAGUUUCUGACACAGAGCUCCUAAUACCCUUGUAAUUUCCUGAGUGAUGGGGGUACUGGGAGCAUCUUUUGUUCUAAUAUUGGUUGGGAGCAUCUUUGACUGGGUUCCUGGUACAGAGCUUCCAAUCCCUUGGAAUUUCCUGGGUGAUAGGAGCAUCUUUUGUUCUAAUGAACGACUCUUGGUGGAAUCCUAGAUGAGGGCUGGUCACCAGAAAGACCAAGCCAUGGUUAGAAGCUUGGAACUUUCAGCCCCACACCCCAUCCUCUAGGGAGGAAAGAGGAGUUGGAGAUUGAAUCAAUAAUCAAUCAUGCCUACAUGAUGAAGCCUCCUUAAAAAUUCCUAAGUACAGGUGCGGGAGCUUCAGGGUUGGGGAACACGUGGUGGUGCUCCUGGAGAGGCCAUGGCAGCUCCAUACCCACCCCCACCAUAUCUUUUCCUGUAUUUCUCUCCCAUUUGGCUGUAUUCUUUAUAAUAAGUGGAUAAACAUAGUAGUGUUGCCCUGGGUUCUCUGCGCUGUUCCACCAAAUGACUGGACCUAAGAAGGGGGGCGUGGGAACCUCCGAUUUAUAGCCAAGUUGGACAGAAGCUGUGGGUGACCUGCAGACCCACCACUUACAACUGGCAUCUGGAGCAGGGCAGUCCUGGGAAUUGAGCCCCUCCCCUGUGGGGCUGGCUCUAACUCCAGUUAGUGUCAGAGUUGAGCUGAACGGUAGGACACCCAGCUGGUGCUGGCGAAUGGGUGGGAUUUUUCCCCACACAUGUGGAGACGGGAGGUGUUGUGUGAGUGUAAGAAUGAACGAGAGAGGCAUCUCAGCAUAAGAAAUCAGUGGGGCUGAUUUUAAAAGCAGACAAAUGUGAAUUCAAGGUUAAGUAUUGAAAAUAGAAUGAAAAUCCGGUAAAUCGUUAAACAUCCUGUGGUAAAUGGAAGGAUGAUUGAAAGAGGAAUGCUGCUGACAGGGAGCGUGGCCCCAGCCAGGCCAGUGAGCAAAGCCAGGGGUGGAACUCCCACACACCCGCCCAGGUCGUUCUCAGAGAGGGACCCAUUCACAGGCACUGAUCAUACAAACCCCUCAGAAACACCUCAGCACAUUAUAAAUAUUAGAAAUAGAACAAAAGGCAUUUUGCUUAAAGCAUAAGGUAAUGUAACUAGAAAUUAAUUUUUAAGUUAAAAAAUGUGGAAAUUUUAAAACACUCAACAAAGCUCAGUUCGGGCUGGUCUGAGUGCAGUGGGGUGUACAAGGAAUUGAUUACAAGCAGUUACAGGUUUCUUUGCUCCUUUUCCAUUUCCACUGCUGCUUCACUUCACUAGCCUUUAUUUAAAAAGUCAGCUUGAAGAAGGUACAACAAUUCAACUUAUAGAAUAUCCAGAAAAUACAAAUGAAAACAUUGCAUAUUAAGACGUAUGGACUGCUGUUAAAGCUUUGAUCAGAAUAAAAUGCAGAGCCAAAAAUACUUAUCUGAUUAAAUAAGAAUAAUUGGAAACACAUGAAUUAGGCAUCUAUUGAAUAACUUAGAACAACAACAACAAAAUAAAAGUAGAAGAGAACUGGCUGGGCACGGUGGCUCACGCUGGUAGUCCCAGCACUUUGGGAGGCUGAGGCGGGUAGAUCAACUGAGGUCAGGAGUUUGAGACCAGCCUGGCCAACAUGGUGCAACCUCUACUAAAAAUACAAAAAAAAAAAAAAAAAAAAAAAAUUAACCGGGAGUGGUAGUGGGUGCCUGUAAUCCCAGCUACUCAGGAGGCUAAGGCAGGAGAAUUGCUUGAACUCGGGAGGUGGAGGUUGCAGUGAGCCAAGAUGACGCCAUUGCACUCCAGCCUGGGUGACAGUGCGAGACUUCCUCUCAAAAAAAAAAAAAAAAAAAAAGUAAAAGGAUCAUGGCUGAAUCCUGAGGAUAUCUUAUUUCAUGUAAUGUGAAAUAAGUCAGUCACAAAAGGACAAAUACUAUAUGAAUCCACUUGUAUCAGGUACCUAGCCAAAUUUAUAAAGACCAAAAGGAGGCCAGGUGUGGUGGCUCACGCCUGUAAUUCCAGCACUUUGGGAGGAGGAGGCAGGCAGAUCACUUGAGGCCAGGAGUUUGAGACCAGCCUGGCCAACGUGGUGAAACCCCAUCUCUACUAAAAAUAUAUAAAAUUAGCUGGGAUUGGUGGUGUGCUCUGGUAAUCCCAGCAACUCUGGAGGCCGAGGCAUGAGAAUCGCUUGGACCCAGGAGGCAGAGGUUGCAGUGAGCAGAGAUUGCACCACUGCACUCUAGCCUGGGUGAUAAAAUGAGACUCUGUCUCAAAAAAAGAAAAAAAAAAAAAAAGGACCAAAACAAGAGUGGUUGAUGUUUGAUAGAGACAGGGUUUCAAUUUGGGAAGAUGAAAAGAGUUCUGGGAAUAUGUGGUUGUGAAGACUGUACAACAAUGUGACUGUAUUUAAUGACACUGAAUGGUACACUUAAAACUGGUUAAAAUGAUAAAUUUUAUGUUAUGUAUAUUUUACGAAAAUUUAAAAAUAUACAAUAAUUUUUAAAAAGUAAAAUAGAAUGAAAAUAUUAAAGAUAAAAGCAGAAAACUAAAAAUUAGAAAACAUACCUGCAGAAUUUGUUGAUGGGAAGUAUUUAUCAAAGGUGAACACACAGAACUCUAACACAGCAGCAGAGGAAAUGGUAGGAAGGCCAUUGGCAGAAAAAAAGGAAAUUUAGAAAGCAGUGCAAAAUGUUACACGUGACGGUGGAGAGAAGACAAGAAAGAGUGUGGAACUGCAGCACUGCAGAAAGGUGGCAUUCCCGAAGCGGGCUGUGUGCAAACACAGGGGGCGUCUCGUCACAAAGAGUUUGAGAAAGAUAGAAUCUGUGGGCCGCAUCCCCAGGGGCCAUAACUUUGAGACCCCUUCCCCAACUCAGGACAAGCUAUGGCAUUAGAAGGUCAAACGCAUAUGAAGUAAACAGUAAUUACAAAAGGAGCUAUCCAUGGUGAGGUCAGAAACACUGAUAGACGGAAGGUCUAGGGAGGUUGGGAAGGGUUUGUACCACAUAAAAAAUGAAGGAAUGAGAAAAAGUUAAAUUAUGUAAGAGUUCCUUCCUGAGGCGUGCACCUCCAGGGGGCUCUGCUUAAAGCUUCUGUCAGUCUUUUCUCCAACUCACUGGGGUCCCCGUGAGUGCAAUGACCAGCUACAUCUAACCCACCAUGCUGCCCCGACUAGUUUGUCCCACAGGCUCCCAGGGCCCAGAGGAAGGGCUGAACCGUGUGUUGGGCCCAGCACUGGCUGGAGAAGCACCUGCAACAACUGUGGCUUCUGCUGUGCUGGCCCACUGCUGUCACCUGGGAGGGCUGGGUCAACGCAGGGACCCCCAAGACCCUGCAGACAGGUCCUCGGACUGCAAAGUCUAAGGGUCCGAUGUCUUAAAAAUAUAAACCGGUAAAACUCAUGGCAAGCUAAAUCAAUAGGCACGGGAGAAAGGAGAAAUGCACACAAUUACAAACGGAAAAAGGAGAAAAAGCCACAAAUACAGAGGAAAGAAAACACCUGAAGUGCAUAUAUUACAAAACUACGCAACUAUGUUGAAAAGUGGAUGGAAUUAAUUUUAUUUUUAAAAAUGUCAUUAAAAUGGACUCUAGAAGGGCUCGAGGACCUAACUUGCCUGAUGAGCAAAAUCCAGAAAUAUACCACGGCAGGCCCAGACAGCCCCAGCUAGUUCUUCUACACUUAAGCAGAAAAUAAUCCAAAACCAAUAGAUGAUUGUAGAAUAUAGAGGUUUUUGUUUUAUAAUAUUUCUUCCUUUAAGUCAGCAUAAAGUUAAAUCUGGACAAAAAACACAUAAAAGCAAGAUGUAGAAUGAUGAAUCUUAAUUAUAAAUAUUGAUAACCAAAGUCAUGAUACUAAUAAGUAAAGAACAUCUCAGGAAUACACUAAUGAUUUGGUCUUAAGUAUUCUAUUAAUAUAAUUAAACAUACUACUAGAGCAAAGGAAAAGACCUUCUGAUAAUCCCUCUGGACACUGAGAAGGCUUUGACAAAAAUCUAACAUCUACAUUUUCCCCAGAGAGUCUUAAUAGUUUGAGAACACACAGAUACUUUUUUAUUAUGGCAAGGAAAAUACAUGUCUUCAUACAAGUUAAACGCUGAGACAUUAAAACGUCCCACUGAUGUCACGAA
rnacentral:lncRNA from 1 species